GACGAACCGUGCGAACGUUGUUCGGAAUCACUGGGCUUAAAGGGCGCGUAGGCGGGUUCGCAAGUCUGUGGUGAAAGCCUCCAGCUUAACUGGAGAAGUGCCGUGGAUACUGCGAGUCUUGAGGGAGGGUAGGGGCAUCUGGAACGGUCGGUGGAAGCGGUGAAAUGCGUAGAUAUCAUUUGGAACGCCAAUGGUGAAAACAGGUAGCUGGGGUUGUGACUGACGCUGAGACACGAAAGCCAGGGGAGCAAACGGG
rnacentral:rRNA from 1 species